rnacentral:rRNA from 1 species
UACGUAGGGUGCAAGCGUUAAUCGGAAUUACUGGGCGUAAAGCGUGCGCAGGCGGCUUUGCAAGUCAGAUGUGAAAGCCCCGGGCUCAACCUGGGAACUGCAUUUGAAACUGGCGGGCUUGAGUAUGGCAGAGGGGGGUGGAAUUCCGCGUGUAGCAGUGAAAUGCGUAGAGAUGCGGAGGAACACCGAUGGCGAAGGCAGCCCCCUGGGCCAAUACUGACGCUCAGGCACGAAAGCGUGGGGAGCAAACAGG